rnacentral:lncRNA from 1 species
GUAGCGAAGCAGCCACUAUACAAUUUUUCGUCAUUCUGCGCAGAACCGUGGUACCUGCUAAACACCUGUAAGGCAUUAUGUGCACUUUGUUGAUGCUGUGGCUAAUGACGAUAAAGAAUUAUGGCAGAGCCCUUUGUAAUGGGUCGGAAGCAUUCAACAACCCACUCGUUGCGCAAUUCGCACUGUGUGACGCCUGGUUACAAAAUUCGCGUUGAGUGACACGUGGUUCUCAUUUUGCUCUUCUAGCAGGCUACAUUACAUAUCUUAAUGUGGUUCCUUCCCGACAUGAAGCCUGUAUAGGGUCUUUUUGCUACGGU